rnacentral:rRNA from 1 species
AGUGAACGCUGGCGGCAGGCCUAAUACAUGCAAGUCGAACGGCAGCACAGUGGAGCUUGCUCCAUGGGUGGCGAGUGGCGGACGGGUGAGGAAUACAUGGGAAUCUGCCCAGUCGUGGGGGAUAACGUAGGGAAACUUACGCUAUUACCGCAUGCGCCCUUCGGGGGAAAGCCGGGGACCUUCGGGCCUGGCGCGAUUGGAUGAGCCCAUGUUCGAUUAGCUAGUUGGCGGGGUAAAGGCCCACCAAGGCGACGAUCGAUAGCUGGUCUGAGAGGAUGAUCAGCCACACUGGAACUGAGACACGGCCCAGACUCCUACGGGAGGCAGCAGUAGGGAAUAUUGGACAAUGGGCGCAAGCCUGAUCCAGCCAUGCCGCGUGAGUGAAGAAGGCCCUCGGGUUGUAAAGCUCUUUUGUCCGGGAAGAAAAGCAUCGGGCUAAUACCUCGGUGUUCUGACGGUACCGGAAGAAUAAGCACCGGCUAACUUCGUG